rnacentral:rRNA from 1 species
UACGGAGGGUGCGAACGUUAAUCGGAAUCACUGGGCGUAAAGCGCGCGUAGGCGGUUUGUUAAGUGGGAUGUGAAAUCCCCGGGCUUAACCUGGGAAUUGCAUUUCAAACUGGCCGACUAGAGUACGGGUAGAGGGAGGUAGAAUUUCCUGUGUAGCGGUGAAAUGCGUAGAUAUAGGAAGGAAUACCAGUGGCGAAGGCGGCCUCCGUGGAUCGAUACUGACGCUGAGGCGCGAAAGCGUGGGGAGCAAACAGG